GUAGGGAAUAUUGGGCAAUGGAGGCAACUCUGACCCAGCCAUGCCGCGUGCAGGAUGACGGCCCUCUGGGUUGUAAACUGCUUUUAUACGGGAAGAAAAAAUACUACGUGUAGUAUACUGACGGUACCGUAAGAAUAAGGAUCGGCUAACUCCGUGCCAGCAGCCGCGGUAAUACGGAGGAUCCAAGCGUUGUCCGGAGUUAUUGGGUUUAAAGGGUGCGUAGGCGGAUCUUUAAGUCAGUGGUGAAAGCCUGCAGCUUAACUGUAGAAUUGCCAUUGAAACUGAAGAUCUUGAAUGUGGUUAAAGUAGGCGGAAUGUAUCAUGUAGCGGUGAAAUGCUUAGAUAUGAUACAGAACACCGAUAGCGAAGGCAGCUUGCUGAACCAUUAUUGACGCUGAGGCACGAAAGCGUGGGGAGCGAACAGGAUUAGAAACCCGGGUAGUCC
rnacentral:rRNA from 1 species